UUGGAGGGCAAGUCUGGUGCCAGCAGCCGCGAUAAUUCCAGCUCCAAUAGCGUAUAUUAAAGUUGUUGCAGUUAAAAAGCUCGUAGUUGAAUUUCGGGGUCAGUAGGUCGGUCGUGCCACUGGUAUGAACUGGUUUUACUGAUUCCUCCCUCUUGAAGAACUGUAAUGCCAUUAAUUUGGUGUUGCAGGGAAUCAGGACUGUUACUUUGAAAAAAUUAGAGUGUUUAAAGCAGGCUUUAGCUUGAAUACAUUAGCAUGGAAUAAUGAAAUAGGACGUUUGAUCCUAUUUUGUUGGUUUCUAGGAUUGACGUAAUGAUUAAUAGGGAUAGUUGGGGGCAUUAGUAUUCAAUUGUCAGAGGUGAAAUUCUUGGAUUUAUUGAAGACUAACUACUGCGAAAGCAUUUGCCAAGGAUGUUUUCAUUAAUUCAAGAACGAAAGUUAGGGGAUCGAAGACGAUCAGAUACCGUCGUAGUCUUAACCAUAAACUAUGCCGACUAGGGGAUCGGGAUGAUGUUAAUUUUUAAUGUACUCAUUCGGCGCC
rnacentral:rRNA from 1 species